rnacentral:rRNA from 1 species
CGGAGGAUCCGAGCGUUAUCCGGAUUUAUUGGGUUUAAAGGGUGCGUAGGCGGGAUAGUAAGUCAGUGGUGAAAGCCCGCAGCUCAACUGCGGAACUGCCAUUGAUACUGCUAACCUUGAGUAUGUAUGAUGUGGGCGGAAUGUGCAGUGUAGCGGUGAAAUGCUUAGAUAUUGCACAGAACACCGAUUGCGAAGGCAGCUCACAAAACCAUAACUGACGCUGAGGCACGAAAGCGUGGGGAUCAAACAGGAUUAGAUACCCUGGUAGUCCACGCCUUAAACGUUGGAUACUCGAUGUGUGCGAUAUACUGUACGCGUCUAAGCGAAAGUGAUAAGUAUUCCACCUGGGGAGUACGCUCGCAAGAGUG